GACGAACGCUGGCGGCAUGCCUAAUACAUGCAAGUCGAGCGAACAGAUGAAGUGCUUGCACUUCUGACGUUAGCGGCGAACGGGUGAGUAACACGUAAGGAAUCUACCUAUAAGCGGGGGAUAACAUUCGGAAACGGGUGCUAAUACCGCAUAAUAUCUUCUUCCGCAUGGAAGAAGAUUGAAAGACGGCUCUUCUGUCACUUAUAGAUGACCUUGCGGUGCAUUAGUUAGUUGGUGGGGUAAUGGCCUACCAAGACAAGGAUGCAUAGCCGACCUGAGAGGGUGAUCGGCCACAUUGAGACUGAGACACGGCCCAAACUCCUACGGGGGGCAGCAGUAGGGAAUCUUCCGCAAUGGGCGAAAGCCUGACGGAGCAAUGCCGCGUGAGUGAAGAAGGCCUUCGGGUCGUAAAACUCUGUUAUAAGAGAAGAACAAAUUGUAGAGUGACUGCUACAGUCUUGACGGUAUCUUAUCAGAAAGCCACGGCUAACUACGUGCCAGCAGCCGCCGUAA
rnacentral:rRNA from 1 species